rnacentral:hammerhead_ribozyme from 1 species
GCACUGCUGAGGAGUCCCAUACCAGGACGAAACGGCUGUCCAGCGC